CACGGAGGGUGCAAGCGUUAUUCGGAAUCACUGGGCGUAAAGCGCGCGUAGGCGGUCUCUUAAGUCAGAUGUGAAAGCCCGGGGCUCAACCCCGGAAGUGCAUUUGAAACUAAGGGACUUGAGUAUGGGAGAGGGAAGUGGAAUUCCUGGUGUAGCGGUGAAAUGCGUAGAUAUCAGGAGGAACACCGGUGGCGAUGGCGACUUCCUGGACCAAUAAUGACGCUGAGGCGCGAAGGCGUGGGGAGCAAACAGG
rnacentral:rRNA from 1 species